UGAACUAGAAAUAAAACAGAACUAGGAAUAAACCUGAACUAGGAAUAAACCUGAACUAGGAAUAAACCUGAACUAGGAAUAAAUCUGAACUAGAAAUAAAACAGAACUAGGAAUAAACCUGAACUAGGAAUAAACCUGAACUAGGAAUAAACCUGAACUAGGAAUAAAUCUGAACUAGAAAUAAAACAGAACUAGGAAUAAACCAGAACUAGGAAUAAACCAGAACUAGAAAUAAACCUGAACUAGGAAUAAACCAGAACUAGGAAUAAACCUGAACUAGAAAUAAAACAGAACUAGGAAUAAAUCUGAACUAGAAAUAAACCUGAACUAGGAAUAAAACAGAACUAGGAAUAAACCUGAACUAGGAAUAAAUCUGAACUAGGAAUAAACCUGAACUAGGAAUAAAUCUGAACUAGAAAUAAAACAGAACUAGGAAUAAACCAGAACUAGGAAUAAACCAGAACUAGAAAUAAAACAGAACUAGGAAUAAACCAGAACUAGAAAUAAACCUGAACUAGGAAUAAACCAGAACUAGGAAUAAACCAGAACUAGAAAUAAAACAGAACUAGGAAUAAACCAGAACUAGAAAUAAACCUGAACUAGGAAUAAACCUGAACUAGGAAUAAACCAGAACUAGAAAUAAAACAGAACUAGGAAUAAACCAGAACUAGAAAUAAACCUGAACUAGGAAUAAACCAGAACUAGGAAUAAACAAGAACUAGGAAUAAACCUGAACUAGAAAUAAACCUGAACUAGAAAUAAACCUGAACUAGGAAUAAACCUGAACUAGGAAUAAACUAGGAAUAAAAAAGGAAUUAGGAUAAAACAGGAUCUGAAAACUAGGAACAAACUGGAACUGACCUCUAGAAAGAAUGUGAAUUUAAAACUAAAAACCUAAUAAAUAAAUAAAUAAAAUAUUAAAAAAAAAAGAAAGAAAAUGAAAAAAAAAAAAAAAACAAUCUAGGAACUAGGAAUAUACCGCAAUGAGAAAAACAUGAAUAAAUUAGGAUUAACAUGAACAGGAACUGGGAAUGAAAUGUGACUAAAGAAACAUGAAUUUAACUCUAAUCUAGAAACUGGAAAUGAACUGGGAUUAAAACUGAAAAUGAUCUGAAACUGGGAAAUAGGAAUAAAUGUGAAUUUAGGAACUAGGAAUAUCUGAAAUAAACAUGAUACAGUAUAAGUACUACAAAUACACAGGAACUAGGUUUAGUAGAGAAGAGAAGAAUACACACACACACACACACACACACACACACACACACACACCAAUCACAAGAAACCGGUGCUAACAGUGAUCCUAGGCAAAGGUGGAACAGGAAAUGAAGGAAAACAGGAAGUAGUGAGGGGUUUUGUGACAGAAGGUCAGGAGGUUGUCAUGAAGAAUUUAGAGUUUAUCUAAUAUUACUUUUUUUACUUUUUUAGUUUACUGUUUUGUGUGUGUGUGUGUGUGUGUGUGUGUGUGUGUGUUUAAUUUCCUGCUGAUUUACUGGGUCUCGGUCUGGAUUUAAGAUGGCUUCCAUUUGAAUUCUCUUGUUGAACACAACUAUCAGACCAUGAGGGACCUGCUCUUUUCCGUUUCUUUCUGUUGACUGCCAGUUUCUUUCUUCUCCAAAGAAAAGCAUGUGAUGGUUAUCUGAUAAACUCUAACAGCACAGCCAUUACCUCCAACCCAAACACAACCCCAGUUUCAGCUCAGCAUGUGUGUGUGUGUGCGUGUGUGUGUGUGUGUGUGUGUGUGGAUGUGGGGGGUGUGUGAUUUCUCCUGAUUGCUUCUGUGCUGCUUAUAUCAGGCAGGCCACCCCGCUGACACUUCGUCGAUAAAAAGAAAGAGAAAAAGUAUCUCUGCUCUUCAUCAUCACUUGGCCUUCCUCGUAAUGGAACAGGAUUAUGGCGGAUUUACACCAGCUCCACGUUUCUUGUGUGUGUGUGUGUGUGUGUGUGUGUGUGUACGCCAACAACAGCGCGUUCAAGGGUAAAAUUCCUGCAUCCUCGCUCCUCUUAUCCCUGACAGCGAUCCCCCCAGCAGCGCGCCGCCCUGCGAGAGAAGGCCAUGUUUGAUCCCCACCAGUGGGCCGGGUUUUAUUUCCGUUGUGGAGAGAUCGUUUCCAGAAGACGCUCUUCAAGGACGAUCCGUGGAUCGUGACAAAGCGCUGAAGCCAGAGAGGGGCGUUAUCACUCAUGACACCUUAUUAUUAGUGUGUACUUUUUUGCCCUGGUGGUCUAAUAAAGUAGAGACUCUAAAGCUUAAUGCUAAACGCGAAUUGCUCAUGAAGAAGU